rnacentral:rRNA from 1 species
AGAGUUUGAUCAUGGCUCAGAACGAACGCUGGCGGCGUGGAUUAGGCAUGCAAGUCGAACGAAGCUAAGGAAUUUGGCAACAUUUUCCCCAAGACUUAGUGGCGGAAGGGUGAGUAACACGUGGGUAAUUUACCUUAAACCUGGGGACAACCCCGCGAAAGCGGGGCUAAUACCGUAAUGUGGUCCUGUCAGGGCAUCCUGUUGGGAUUAAAGGUGGGGACCUUCGGGCCUACCGGUUUUUGAUAAGCCCGCGGCCUAUUAGCUUGUUGGUAGGGUAACAGCCUACCAAGGCGAUGAUGGGUAGCCGGACUGAGAGGUUGACCGGCCACACUGGGACUGAGACACUGCCCAGACUCCUACGGGAGGCUGCAGUCGAGAAUCUUUCGCAAUGGGCGCAAGCCUGACGAAGCGACGCCGCGUGAGCGAUGAAGGCCUUCGGGUUGUAAAGCUCUGUCACAAGGGAUGAAAUGCAUAUGCGCUAAUAUCGUAUAUGCUUGACAGUACCUUGAGAGGAAGCUCCGGCUAACUCCGUGCCAGCAGCCGCGGUAAUACGGAGGGAGCGAGCGUUGUUCGGAUUUAUUGGGCGUAAAGGGCGUCUAGGUGGUAUGGUAAGUCGUAUGUGAAAGCCCUCGGCUUAACCGAGGAAUUGCAUUUGAAACUGCCAAACUCGAGUAUGGUAGAAGUGAGCGGAAUUCUCAGUGUAGCGGUGGAAUGCGUAAAUAUUGAGAAGAACACCAGUGGCAAAGGCGGCUCACUAGACCAACACUGACACUGAAGCGCGAAAGCCAGGGGAGCGAACGGGAUUAGAUACCCCGGUAGUCCUGGCCGUAAACGAUGUGCACUGGGUGUAGGAGGUAUCGACCCCUCCUGUGCCGAAGUUAACGCAUUAAGUGCACCGCCUGGGGAGUACGACCGCAAGGUUGAAACUCAAAGGAAUUGACGGGGGCCCGCACAAGCGGUGGAGCAUGUGGUUUAAUUCGAUGCAACGCGAAGAACCUUACCAGGGCUUGACAUGUACCGGACUGUCUGUGAAAGCAGACUUUCCUUCGGGACCGGUACACAGGUGCUGCAUGGCUGUCGUC